CAUGUCCUCAUGUGUAAGUCGCUUUGGAUAAAAGCGUCUACUAAAUGACUAAAU
rfam:Danio rerio chromosome 5, GRCz11 reference primary assembly.